GGCCCCGUUGUCUAGCGGCCCAGGACGCCGCCCUCUCAAGGCGGUAGCGCCGGUUCGAAUCCGGUCGGGGCUA
rnacentral:tRNA from 1 species